UACGUAGGGUGCGAGCGUUGUCCGGAAUUAUUGGGCGUAAAGAGCUCGUAGGCGGUCUGUCGCGUCUGCUGUGAAAUCCCGAGGCUCAACCUCGGGCCUGCAGUGGGUACGGGCAGACUAGAGUGCGGUAGGGGAGAUUGGAAUUCCUGGUGUAGCGGUGGAAUGCGCAGAUAUCAGGAGGAACACCGAUGGCGAAGGCAGAUCUCUGGGCCGUAACUGACGCUGAGGAGCGAAAGCAUGGGGAGCGAACAGG
rnacentral:rRNA from 1 species